rnacentral:rRNA from 1 species
UACGUAGGUGACCAGCGUUGUCCGGAUUUACUGGGCGUAAAGGGCGCGUAGGCGGCCUUCUAAGUCGAACGUGAAAUCCCUGGGCUCAACCCAGGAACUGCGUCCGAUACUGGAAGGCUUGAAUCCGGGAGAGGGAUGCGGAAUUCCAGGUGUAGCGGUGAAAUGCGUAGAUAUCUGGAGGAACACCGGUGGCGAAGGCGGCAUCCUGGACCGGUAUUGACGCUGAGGCGCGAAAGCCAGGGGAGCAAACGGG